UACGUAGGUGGCAAGCGUUAUCCGGAAUUAUUGGGCGUAAAGCGCGCGUAGGCGGUUUUUUAAGUCUGAUGUGAAAGCCCACGGCUCAACCGUGGAGGGUCAUUGGAAACUGGAAAACUUGAGUGCAGAAGAGGAAAGUGGAAUUCCAUGUGUAGCGGUGAAAUGCGCAGAGAUAUGGAGGAACACCAGUGGCGAAGGCGACUUUCUGGUCUGUAACUGACGCUGAUGUGCGAAAGCGUGGGGAUCAAACAGGAUUA
rnacentral:rRNA from 1 species